rnacentral:rRNA from 1 species
AGUCGAGCGGAAUUUUAUUGGUGCUUGCCCUUUAAAAUUUUAGCGGCGGACGGGUGAGUAACACGUGGGUAACCUACCUUAUAGAUUGGGAUAACUCCGGGAAACCGGGGCUAAUACCGAAUAAUACUUUUUAACACAUGUUUUGAAGUUGAAAGACGGUUUUGCUUUCCCUAUAAAAUGGACCCGCGGCGCCUUAACUAAUUGGUGAGGGAACGGCUCACCAAGGGAACGAUGCCUAACCGACCUGGAAAGGUGAUCCGCCACACCGGGAAUGAAACCCGGCCCAAAAUCCUACGGGAGGGAACAGUAGGGAAUCCUCCACAAUGGACCAAAAUCUGAUGGAACAACGCCCCGUGAGUGAAGAAAGAUUUCGGUUCCUAAACUCUGUUGCAAGAGAAGAACCAGUAACGUAAUUACUGGCGCUACCCUGACGGUACCUUGAUAGAAAGCCACGCUAACUACGUGCCAGCAGCGCGGUAUACGUAGUGGCAGCGUUGUCCGAAUUAUGGGCGUAAACGCGCGCAGGUGUUCCUAAGUCUGAUGUGAAAGCCCCCGCUCACCGGAAGGUCAUGGAAACUGGGAACUGAUGCAGAGAGAAUGGAAUCCAGUGUAGCGUGAAUGCGUAGAGAUUGGACGACCAUGCAGCACUGCUGUCUACUG